rnacentral:piRNA from 1 species
CUGAGGCCCCAAGACGAGUUUAG